GCUUUCAGCACCGCAAAUGUCGUAAAAUGAAUGAUAGUCUUGCAUGGCUGCAACACUUCACGAUCGAUUGCGACCAAACUGCGGUUUCCAAAAGCGGCAUAGCUUGUAAUUCGCAACGCACGCGCUCAAGAUAAAAUCACAAACAAAAUAUCCGGCAAUCAACCGGUGGGCACGGGGCAUUUUAAUGGACGAACUCGUUGACGCUCUGGCUGCAAAAGCCGGCAU
rnacentral:misc_RNA from 1 species